UACGAAUGGAGCGAGCGUUGUUCGGAAUCACUGGGCGUAAAGGGUGCGCAGGCGGUCGUAAAAGUUAGGAGUGAAAUCCCAGGGCUCAACCUUGGAAUGGCUUUUAAAACUAUACGACUUGAGUACUGGAGAGGUUGGCGGAAUUCCGAGUGUAGAGGUGAAAUUCGCAGAUAUUCGGAGGAACACCAAUGGCGUAGGCAGCCAACUGGACAGUUACUGACGCUCAUGCACGAAAGCGUGGGGAUCAAACAGGAUUAGAUACCCUGGUAGUCCACGCCCUAAACGAUGUGUGCUAGUUGUCGGGCCCUUUAGGGUUCGGUGACGCAGCUAACGCUUUAAGCACACCGCCUGGGGAGUACGGUCGCAAGAUUAAA
rnacentral:rRNA from 1 species